AUGGAAGUGCAAAGAGAUAAGCCAGGGGGUGCAAGCUGCACGCGGACUCAAUCUUCUUCCUCUCCGCCGUGGCGAACGCCUCCGUCCUAUCUCUCCUCCACCAAUCUCUGUCUCAAUCCCUCUGAUGCUGUUUGGUUGAAUGCAGGGUUUUGCUUAUGUUUUGGAACAGGGCUUUUUAUUAUGCAGCAAGUUUUGGCUCGUGAAGAUGAAGGAUAA